GUUUUUUGAGCCUGGUUCGGCCUACACGUUCCUGGUGGGCACGCGCGACCUGGGGCCGCUGCGCCACAUUACCCUCCACUGGGCCUACGUCACAGCCUAUUACAGCCCCCUCAGCUGGCGCCUUCUCUCACACCCCACAGUGUUCGUCAAUCGUGUGUACGUUCACGCCUUGGAAUCGCAACACAGAUAUGAGUUCUGUGGCCUGGAUCAAACCUUUCCUUCGGGUACUGAGCGUCGCCUAGAAUGGAGAGCAGGCUGCCCAGAAGUACCUCAGCCUUCUUCAUCCUCCAUUCUCGCUUCCUUCAUCAACUUUGACGUGGAGGACACACUCUUGAACAACCUACACACCAUCAACAGUGGCCUGACACACCUCGGCAACGGGCAGCUGAUCAACAGCCUGGCGAGCUCUACCAACCAGCUGAUGGAGGCUGCCAUGCAGGGAAAGAAGAGGAAGAGGAGGAAGGGAGUUGAAAGGAAAAGAGUGGAGUUUGUUGAGUUGAGGAAAUAGCGGCCGAGUUCGUGGUAGUGAAUGCGUGACAUAAC